GUGUAAAUCAGCACGGAAAAGUUACUAUAAUAUACCAGCUACCUCCUACAAAGUUUCCGAAAAAAUUCGAACGCGUGUAGCUAUUAUUAUUUGUCUCGUAAAUAUACGGUGCGGCAUGUGGUAAAGAUCCGUGUGUUUAAGAAACGAUAAUAUAUUAGCGUUCCGUUCGAAACGACCGCGACGCCGACGACGUAAAACAAAAUUAGUUUACACGGCGCACCGUGCAGGCAAUUUAGGUGCACGCGUGUAUACGAAUGUAAAUAAUUGCAUUUAAAACAAUAUAAGGGCCUGCGGUUUUUGAUGAA